ACAACUAUAGCUCAGUUGGAUAGACCAUGGUGCUGAUAAUGCCAAGGUUGCAGGUUCAAUCCCCAUAUGGGACAACUGCA